rnacentral:rRNA from 1 species
UGAGGAAUUUUGCGCAAUGGGAGCAAUCCUGACGCAGCAACGCCGCGUGGGUGAAGAAGGCCUUCGGGUCGUAAAGCCCUGUCAGGUGGGAAGAAAGGCACUGGGUCUAACAGGCUUGGUGUUUGACGGUACCACCAGAGGAAGCACCGGCUAACUCCGUGCCAGCAGCCGCGGUAAUACGGAGGGUGCGAGCGUUAUUCGGAAUUACUGGGCGUAAAGCGCGUGUAGGCGGGGAGGUAAGUCUGAUGUGAAAGCCCUGGGCUCAACCUGGGAAGUGCAUUGGAAACUGCCUUUCUUGAGUACUGGAGAGGAAGGGGGAAUUCCCGGUGUAGAGGUGAAAUUCGUAGAGAUCGGGAGGAAUACCAGUGGCGAAGGCGCCCUUCUGGACGGUUACUGACGC